CCACCGCUCAGUUUUACAAUUUUCCAACUGCAAAUUCCGAUGAUUGACCAACGACUGGAAGACCGAAUAUCUUCUCACUGUCAUGACGACGCUCUCUGAAUAAAAGAAAGAAAAAAAGUAUAACAACAAAUAGACUCAUGUUCUCCAGCUCCAGCUUUCUGAUUUCCGACCGCAUCGCGCUGAUCACCUGCAGAAUCCUCUGUUUGCUGUCCAUGGUGCCGACCACACACAAUUCCAACCUGCCUGCACCUCUCUGAAAGGUGUAUCAGAUCUCUCACUUUCCACACUCCGAUAUCCUCAUUGCUGGGGCUCACGACGACAGCCUUACUGCAGUCAAAAAAAAUAGUGCUGAGUUGAUGAUGUCUCCACCUGGAGGAGAUUUAAAGACUCUACGGAGCUUAAUCCAUAUCUUUUCCCUUUUCAUCCCUGCUGCUUGCUUUGUAACCAUGACACCAAAGGCUCAGGACAGAUGCGGCUCCCCUCAGAAUCCCGCACUCAUCAUUUUAGCCAAGUUGCUGUUGACCCGGCGCCAACACCACAAAACAGGACAAGUAAUUUAAUUUGCCACUGCUGCCGACCUUGAAGAAAGGAAUGUAGGCUACCAGAAUCCCAAUUGGGAGGCUUGAAGAAAACGUCCUGGGAGCUGAGAGAGGGGUCACGCUGUUUUGCCUGUAGCAUCACACACAGUCUCCUCACCUCAACAGGAAUACUUUUGUCCUUCAGCAAUGCAGUAGUGCCACUUGCAGACUGCAGUGUCCAGAGAGCCCUAAAAAGGGAAGGAGUCUCACUCUGAUUCCUGGCAGCUUGUAGAGCAGUGGAGGCUAAAUUAGGCCUGGUUUCAUUGACUUCCAAUCCCUCGAGUCCCAACAACCCUGCAGCCCAGAAGAGGGGAGGCCGUGUGGCACUUCGGGCCUCUGAUGCUUCCUCAGAGCUUCUUCACGGCCUGGGAGGAAGAGGCUGCAACUUGCUCUGACCUUUUUUUAUUUAUGCUAAACAUUCCAAGAUUUCCUAAUGAAUUUAAUGAUGAUAUGUGAACUGAUUAAGUGCUUUAACCAUCAUGUGGUAUGUUUCGCAUAACACACAAUCUGCUCACUGUGUUUUUUUUUCUGCUGAUAAAAUGCUUGUCUGCCUCCCUCUCUCCUCUGCUGUUUCCCCUUUGCUGUGCUGUCCGGUGUGAUUGACCAUGUC